rnacentral:rRNA from 1 species
GAUGAACGCUGGCGGCGUGCCUAAUACAUGCAAGUCGAGCGAACGGACGAGAAGCUUGCUUUUCUGAUGUUAGCGGCGGACGGGUGAGUAACACGUGGAUAACCUACCUAUAAGACUGGGAUAACUUCGGGAAACCGGAGCUAAUACCGGAUAAUAUUUUGAACCGCAUGGUUCAAAAGUGAAAGACGGUCUUGCUGUCACUUAUAGCUGGAUCCGCGCUGCAUUAGCUAGUUGGUAAGGUAACGGCUUACCAAGGCAACGAUGCAUAGCCGACCCGAGAGGGUGAUCGGCCACACUGGAACUGAGACACGGUCCAGACUCCUACGGGAGGCAGCAGUAGGGAAUCUUCCGCAAUGGGCGAAAGCCUGACGGAGCAACGCCGCGUGAGUGAUGAAGGUCUUCGGAUCGUAAAACUCUGUUAUUAGGGAAGAACAUAUGUGUAAGUAACUGUGCACAUCUUGACGGUACCUAAUCAGAAAGCCACGGCUAACUACGUG